GGAAUUUCUCUUAUAAACGUUCUAAUUUUAAAAAUAAUGUGGAAUUAUUCACUUAUUUAUUGAUUCUUUCAUUUAUAAUUUAUUUCAAAAAUAUCUGUUAGUGGGCUGGGGAUUUAGCUCAGUGGUUCCAGUGCCUGCCUCAGCAAUGCAAGGACCUAAGUUCGAUCCCCAGUACCGGAAAAAAAAAAAAAAAUCUGUUAGACCUCAGGCAUUAUGAUGAUACAGUACCAUAGAAUUCUCCGUAUCUGUCUGUUGAGAAUUGGAACUUGUAUUAAUAUCCCCUCCAUCCAGUGUAUCAAGUUUGAUAAGGUUUGUGUGUUCCAGUUUUUGCAUCCUGUGAUUGGCAGCUUUUGUGCUAGGUACCCACUCUGA
rnacentral:lncRNA from 1 species